UUCCAACUGGAAGUGGGCUGAGAGCCAAGGCAAGUCUAUAUUUAUUUUAGAGAUAGUUGAAAUUUUUCUUGGUUGCAUUCAUUUUUCAGGGAGAAAUGUUCCCAUACUCUGAUUUUCUCAAUCUGAAAAUGUCUGGGGAAGAAUUGUGCCAACAGUUAAAGAUAAUGCAUCACCUGGAGAAGUAGCUGAAGCACAGUUCCGGAGCCCCGUCCCCUGAGAUUCUGAUGAAGUAGUCAGCGAGGCGCCCAUUUAUUUACAUACCUCACAAGCUCGGGGGAUGCCAGCGCCACCUGUGAGGACCACCCUUUGAAAAUCGGUGAUGUGCACAAUGGUUAAAAUAAAUCCAGAAUCAAAACACUG